AUGAUUCUUCUAAGUUGGAACUGCCGGGGAGGGGGGAAUUCCCGGACAGUUCGUGAACUAGCGACUUUAUGCCAGUCGCAUUCCCCCACUUUGGUGUUCUUGUGUGAAACUAGGCAGAAAAGUGAGAAGAUGAAGAGGAUUCGGGGCCGUCUUGGCUUGAAGGGUUUUAGUGGUAUUGAUAGUGAUGGCAUGAGCGGUGGACUUGCACUUUUUUGGCAUGAA
rnacentral:rRNA from 1 species